GGCCGAGCCAGCCAUAUUAAUGUUCUCAGCACACACUUGGCUUACUCACUGGGAUUUCUGUUCCAGCAGCCUCUCCGUUCUAGUUGUGUAUCCACUACACACAUUUUUGGUUGGUGUCUACAAUGCCUCGGCUCCAUGCUGGGCACUGAGGACACUGCAAUGCACCAGAAAUGAUCCCUGCCCUGCAGGAGCUGCAAUUGCCUCUUGGUGACUGUUUCUGACACACUUUAUGUGGAAGUUGGUUCAAUCAGGAAAGAGACACCUCUUUGGACCCCCAUCUCUCACCCAGUCCACACUUCCUGGUGGUGACUGGUCGGCUCCCUAGUUUCCUGGUCUGGCCUGAGCAGCCGGAUCUUCUCCUACGUACCUGCUUCAUUUUUCCUGCUGCCUGAAGAGAGCCCUUGGGACCCAUCCUCCCCCGUCCUUUAUUUGUGUAGUCUUAUGAAGAAUCCGCAGCGUAAGAAUUACUUUCUAACAAUGGCAUCUAAGAGUGGAAAGUUUAACUUCCUUUAGGAAUUUCUGGAGAGGUAACCUGGGGUCUCCCCAAGCUUCCUGCAGCCCAACCAACCAACCCACCAACCUGGCUGAUGCAUAUGUGGAAUAUCGGCUUCCUGUUCUCUGAAGGGCAAAAAGGACACUGAAGUAUAGCCUACAGGCUCUGCGGCCCAAAGCUCAUUAAGAAGAUAAUAGAUUUAGGCCAGCCGCAGUGGCUCACGCCUGUAAUCCUAGCAUUUUAGGAGGCCUAGGUGGGUGGAUUGCCUGAGCUCAGGAGUUCGAGAUCAGCCUGGGCAACAUGGUGAAACCUCGUCUCUACUGAAAUACAAAAAAUUAGCCAGGCCUGAUGGUGUACGCCUGUAGUUCUAGCUACUCGGGGGGCUGAGGCAGGAGAAUUGCUUGAACUGGGGAGACGGAGGUUUCAGUGAGCUGAGACUGCAUCACUGCACUCCAGCCUGGGUGACAGAGCAAGACUCUGUCUCAAAAAAAAAAAAAAAAAAAAGAAGAAGAAGAUAAUAGAUUUAGAAGACACACAAAUAAUUGUUUAAAAGAAUGGCCCUAAUGUGCUGCAGUCUGAGGUGGAAGGUUAGUAAGGUCUGGACUUCCUCGGAAUAUGACUGAGUUUUCAGAUCACGUGAGACGUCUUCAUGGAAGACAUUGAGGUAGUUACCACAUCUUCUGGAUGUCCCACAGCCAACAGCAUAUCAAUUUGGGCUCCUUCAGACAUUAAAAGCAGGAAUUGGAUUAGUGUAGCUGCCGGAGGUUUCCCACUGUCUCCACUCCCAGUUUCCACGUGCAUUUCCUCUGGUGCUCAUCAAGUGUACAGUGCUGCUGUGGUGAGAAUUUGUCAAAUGAGUCUCCAGUCUCAGAAGGUCUAUGUAAAUGGGGUUUCAAGUCAUCACAGGGACUGAAUUUAGUCUCAAGUACCAUAAAGAAAAUACUUUUAAAGCUCUUCUAAAAAUAAAGCUCCUCUGAAGAGAUGUUUGGCCUGUGGCUAAUGUGUUUGGAAACAUGUUUUCUGUAAAACUCAACCUUAUUCAUCUACUUGCAAAUCCAGAAAGACAACUUUCACUACACACAUCAGGGCUUGUCCCAAAUUUUCCCUACUCACAGUGGAAGAUGCCGGGGUGUGAACCAUUGGCUUAAGGUGCCUCUGCCUCCCUUUCCCCAAAACAGUUUAGGAAGGGAGGGUUUGGGUCUAGUGUCCAGCCUGGGCUCAGCUUUGGAUGCUGGCAACCUGGACCUAGGCACACCAGGGAGGCUGCUUUCUUUGCCCUUGUCUUGCCACUUCCCAUCUCCCAUGUCAUAGGAGGAGCUUGGAAGGAGCUGAAGGCCGUCACCUUCCUACAAAGCAGAGAGAUCCUCUCUCCAAGAACGGCUUUUGCUGCCCUCUGGGUCCUGCUAUUUCCAUGGCUCCUGAAGAAUCAGCCUCUGAUAUUUCAAUUGCCCCUUCAUCAGAACUGUCAAACCUGGUGAAUCUCUUCUCUUUUUCUCUGGCUCACUCUCUCUAAAACACGCAUCUUAAACAAGUUUUAAAAUCCCUGAAGAAUGGCAGAAAUACAAAGAACUCAAUUCCAAAUAAUAUUGUCAUGUUCUGCUGCAUAGUUGAGGUAAUCACCGUUAAGUAAGUGCAGGUAUGGGUGACUCUCUAAGACAAGGAUGAAAGUACAGUGGACAGGUGAGCCCAUGGCCCAGGACUCAGGCACUCACAGCCUCCCACGUUUCUUCUCUAUUUCACAAUUGCUGAUCCAAGGCGGGAGGGGUGCCAUUCAUGUGUGGCAUUCACAUGAGAGAGGUGGGCAUUGUGGGUCCUCAGUGCAGGGCCUGUUGUGUCCUCAAUGAACCCAGGAUUGAGUCCCACAGUGGACAGACUUUGCCAACUUUUAUAAAUCUCUCUCAAGACACUCUCCUCCAAUAUUGCACCUUGAACUGAUGUAAUUUCUUGUAGCGAAAAAAUUAAAAUCUAUCCUUUUUGACCUUCAUAUGCAACAUGCAUAUCAAGAGAGUUGUCUUAGCAGCAGCAAUUUUAUAUUGGGAGAUUUGAGCAUGGACUGGCUGUUGGGAGAGCUUUAUGAGGCAUUCCAUGAUGUCUUGGCUUUAAUUUUGCUUUUAUUUUGAUGUGACAAGAUGUGUUGGACUGAGAUGCCUUUGGGCUCUAGCCCUGGAAUUUACAAAAAGAGAAUACUGCAGGGUUAUGGUGGGGGUGAGGCUGGAAGAUGUUACCCACUCACAAAGCUUCAGCACAGCAACAUAUGUUAGAAGAAUAAACUAACAUUGGAACAGUAAAUACACACAUACACACACACACACACACACAUACACACACACACACACAGAGUGGGAGAGAGUGAGAGAGAGUGCAAAGCCAGUGUUAAAUCCUGGACAUCCCUGCAGGGUCCUCAUGCCUGCCUUUUUCUCUUAGUCUUGUGGGGGUGGGGAAACUCUUUGGUAUUCUCCUUUCUCACUUGUAGGAAUAUAAGGAGGAAAGGAACCAGAAGUAAAGUGUCUGGGCCUCUCUCAGCCAUGCUUUUCAUUUCCACUUAUUAUCUAAAGUAAUUCAUUACUACUUCUGUGCUCUCUUUUCAUCUUUUCCUUGAGCCUCCCCUGAGCUCCCUUGAAGGUGGCAGGUGACAGGCUGGCUUGACCAGAACAAAGACAGUUAUCCCUGGCUGCCGCCUGUUUCCCAAUGGGUGCCUGCCCUGUCUUGUUACACUUCCUCUGUGUGUCUAAUUUACACUGCAAGCCCUCUGGGCAGUGGCUUUUUUUUUCUUUUUUAAAAAAUUAUCUGCUCUUCUCUGCUUACGACUGAAGUUUAACUUCUGCACCCCAACUCCUCCUCAUUCUUAAGAAAAUGCCAACAGAAAAAUAUUAAAAUGAUUGCUGCUGUAUGUAAAGACAGAAGGGUAAAACCGAGGCACUGGAGGCUUUGGGUGGGUAUUGAUGGAGGUCUGGGAGCAGCUGGUGAUUGACAGGGAGAAGAGCUGAAUUAGUUAAGGAAGGGUCUCCUGGGUUUUGCUGGGAGUGGUGGCCAGACACAGACAAGGACAAGGAAGAAGGCCAGGACCUCUGAUUGCUUUUCUCAGAACAGAAAAGAUAUUAUUAUUUGAACCUAGAGGCUGGGCAGUUUCCUGUCAUAGAAAAACUGACUGGCCUCAUGGCCAGAGAAAGGUACCAACUACUUUCUUUGGUAUUUAUGGUUCUCGUAUCCAACGUAGGAAGUUAGGGCUAGACAACAUCUGGAAGUAUCUGGUAGAAGUAUCUAUUUAUUUAAAUCAUCCAUCCAUUCAUCUAUCCAUCCAUUCAUCCACUGAUCCAUCCAUCCACAAUGAUUAACUGCAGUGAAAGAGAAGACAUUUUUAGAAGAUAAAUGUGGUCAAAUGUCCUAAAGUUUUAUUCGCUUGCAUGCAAGUAACCGUGAUGUGUCUGGAGGACUGGAGGGCUGGAAAUGAAAGGAGAAAAGCAAUUAUCUGGGCCCAUGGAUUUGGGAAGCAGAUAUGGGGAUCCUCUCACUGCUGACAGAGCCCCAGUAAAGCAUCUGGAAGGGUUUUAAACAGAAUGAGGGUGUAACAAUGACAGACGUAUUCUUCCUCCUUCAAAAUCCACAACAAAAUAAACAACCACCACCA
rnacentral:lncRNA from 10 species